rnacentral:lncRNA from 1 species
GAAUACAUUCAAUAUUUUCAUACAUAACUCAAACUUCAAUCUUUAUAAGCAUGAAAGAAAACAAUACAAUAUUACACAAAUUAUUGUAACCACAUAGCUAAUAGCUCAACCCUUAGUUUAGAUUCAACUUAACCUUAGUGGAUUGUAGACCUACCACGUCUAAUAUUAAAUUUAAUAACAUGAUCAUUACUUAAGUACAUCAAUAGCUCUUAAGUAUUCUAAAUGAUCUCAAACAUUUCAUACAUUGGCUUUUCUAAUAACCUAACAACUAGUUAUCUUUAUCCUGUUGGACAUUAGCCCCAAAUAAUCCUCCAAUAAAACUUAAGAAGCCACAAUGUCAUCAAGAACUCACUUCACAUGGCAAAUUCAUCUCAAAAACAGAAUUGGCACUAAUCUUCAAGGUCUCACUAUUGGCUCUUCACCUUUAACUUUCAAAAGCUAGACUUGGUCCUUUCAUUUCAUUUUUCCAAAAUUAAUCGUGCUUUCUAGUCACAUCAUAAUGAAUAUACUAAAUUCUUCCCAAUCUGCAAAUAUACCAUUGAAUGAAAUAUCUGAUACUCGAGUACAGGAAUCUAGAAAUAGGGUAAUUCACAGCUCAGGCUGGCCAGUCCCAAGGGUAACUUACCUAUAUUUGAGAUUCCUACCCAACAUACAUCUCUAAUAUCCCCAAUUAUAGACUUUUGUUCUACACUUAAUGAGCCAAUCCCCACAGUCCGAGAAUCCUCUCCCGGCACGAGCUCGAUAGGAGCUCUGAUACCACCUGUGGCGACCCCACUUCCCCCUAAGGCGAACCAGAGGGUUGGCGGGCCGUCUGCCUAGCUCUCGCCAGGACUCACACAAGCAAACUAAUCCAAAUCCUUUCGAAGAAUAUCCUAAACUAUUACAAUAUCACUUUUCUCCAAAAUUGAUCAACAACUAAACCACAUUAACUUCAAAGAUAACAGCAGAUUUAAAUAGCCAAUCGACGGCUCUUAAACGUCUCACGCGUUACAUCCAAGGAAUAAGGUCGUACAAUUCUAAAUACAUAUAAAAUUCAUACAAACCAGAUAUCGAAAAAUCGUCCGUCCCAACUAAGCAAAAAUUCAUACAACAAAAUACAACAAUCAAACCAAGCAUCCAAAUUAAGUUUUACACAUUUUCCAGCUUCACGCGGCAAUCCAAGACCAAAAGUACGUAGUUCAAACUUUAGCACAAAACAACCCACAAAAUAAGCCAUACUAUCCAAUUACAUUCCAAAAAGAAAUAUAGGUAAGUUUCAAGGCUUUCAGUUUCCAGAACCUGUCAGGGAAAACAAAUAAACGUGGGGUGAGCUAAAGCUCAGUGGUGCCCCAAAACAUGCAAUCAGAUAAAACAAAUAUCACGUAUCGAUUUUAAUUAAAGUAAACAAAUAGGAAAGCGUGUAACAGCACAAGGUAGGAUACAGGGGCUCUCAGGAGCCAUUCUCCUUGCUUGAUCAGAAAUUACCGUAGUCGACCCUCCGUCAACUCUCACUACUUAAAGUCCAUGUAGAUACUCUUAUUUUUCUUAGCUCCAACCACCGAACAUACCCCAGCUCCGGGCCCGCACGACAAAAUAAAUGAGAGCGGUAGUACUCGAGUAUACCUGGGACUGGUCGAGGGAUUUCCCCAACGACGUUGCGUCCAGCAAGAGAUUAGUAUAGACUGGUCGAGGGAUUCACCCAGCGACGUUGCGUCCAGCAUGAGGUUAUUAUAGACUAGUCGAGGGAUUCACCCAACGACGUUGCGUCCAGCAUGUAGAUAGUGCAAGCAGGAUAUUCGCGAAAACAUUUCAAGCAAGUCUCCACUUGAACGGCUAAUGUGGUAAAGUACACAUAGCUCACUUCGAUGGAUCAAAACCAUAUUUCCAAAUAUCACAUAUCAAGCCGAGAAAGCGCAUUAAUCAGGUAAGCAUAGAACAAGCAGGGACACUCAGCAAGAGUGAAGUUCAAAGGUCAAGCCGGGAAUCGUAGUCCAAGUCCUCGCUAAAUCCUAGAAAUCCAAGUUUUAAGAACUAUAAGUUUUACUAAGCAAACUCUUGACUUCAAACAUAUAAAAGAUUAUCUUGUAUUAAACUAGUUUAUUUCCCUGAAACAAAUCAAUAAAUUUCUUAAACAUCAAGACUAGUAAGGAAUAAAGUGUUUCAUGUGGUUUCUUUAAAGAUAUUUUAUUUCAAGGGUGCAAACUAGAACCAAAGUGGUUCAGACGGGUUUUCCUUGCCGAAUAAGUUUUCUAUGCCUUUUAUUUGAAAUUACUUAAAUCUAGUAUUUUUUUUUCCAAAUUUCCUUUAAAACAACUGGUCAAGAAUAGUUUUAAGAAAACUUAAGGUUUAAGAGUUGGAUACAAAUACUCCCUAAAGGUAAUAAAGCUAGUUUAAGCAAAAUAAAAGAAUUAACUAGUCGGCAAGGUUUUGAAAGUCCCAAUAUCUAACUUUCUAAUAAUACUACACUAAACUCGAAUUCUAUCACUUGAUAUUAAAGCGGAAUAUUUCCACAAAAUUUGAUUUUGAAAGUAUUCAAGUUCAAGAAUAAUCAAAACGGUCUUCACGAUUCUAGCUCAUUUGCACAAUGGAUUCCCAGGUCACCAAGAUGGAAACGUUACAAACCAAAUAUCAAUUUCACUAGGGCUUCAUCAAUCAUUAGCCCUAGAUCUCAACAAACUCCAGUACAAUUAGAAUUCAACGAAGGAAGUCCAAGGUAACAAGACAAACAAAAAUGCAAACCAUGGACCUCCCAAGUACAUUUCAGCCAACCACUUGAACAAAUUCAACAAAAAUUAAAUUAUUGCAAAACUACUCAAAUGGCCAAGAGCUUCAUCAAUCAUUAGCUCUUGACAACAAUCAAUCACUUCCAACCACAAUUCAACCAGAAAUUCAAACCACAAAUAAGCUAAAUGUUCGAUCCAAGUCAAAAGUUCAGUUUCAUAAAGAAACAAGACAUUCAAGCAGGACAGUCUACUUUGAGGAGUCACGGACAGCGGUACACAUGGAGGAAAAAUAUGAAAUUUCUACAGAACAAAGGCCCAUGAUUCUAGUUUCAAAUGCCACUGACGGCACCUUAAACGGAUUUUCCUACACCAAGAUAUAAGCAUUUUACUGAGACUGGUCAGUGAAAUCCGAAAAUCUGAAAUCUCAUUUUUCACUUGUGAAAAACUCCUUUUUCUCUUUUAACACCAAAAUGUUUUUAUUCAACCAUCCAUACAUUUCUUAUAGAACUCCAAGACAACAUAUUCUAGGCAUUUCCAUCCAUCAUGUUUCAAGGAAAAAUUUAAAAACCAAGCUGAGAUUCCAUCUCAACCUUUGACUAUCACAUAAGAAAUUCCAGCAACUAAUAUACUUUAGAUCAAAUUUUCCCUUGGUUUAAACAUGGUGUUAUGUACUCAAAUUCAGCAUUUAAACACUUAUCUAGUUAUUAAAGAUUUCCACUUCAUAACCAGAUUCACACAGCAACUAAAAUCAUCCAGAAAAAUCCAGAAAUCUGUCCAUCAGCCACGGAUGAACAUGCAUGAAGGAACGUUCUGGUUUCAUUUUAUUUUCUGGAUUUAAACAUGCUUUUAAACUCUCAACUUCCUCAUGCAAUUACUUAGCUAGAAAAUAAACAUUUCCAGUUCAGAAAUCGAGUUCAAACAACAACCUUUAACAUCAAAAUUUUCUAACUUGGCUCGGAUGAACGUGCGUGGGCAGAUUGCACUUUGAUUUUAUUUUUCUGGUUUUAAACUAACUAAUUAGCUACAUGCAGAGCCUAAUUAACUUGUGAUUAACUAUCUAAUUAUGGUUAUAAUCUCAAACAACAAAAUUGAACCAAAUCAAGCUGCAAUAAUCAAGCUAAGCUCUCGGCAGUUUCCCUACUAGCACAUAACAGAAAUUCUUUUCUUAAAAAUCUCAUCCGGAUGCCUAACCUCCACAUGCAAGUUCUUAGAUGACUUAAACUUCUUGUUAUUAAUUGGUUAAACACUUAAUCGAGCUCAGAUUAUCGCAGGAAAUUAGAAAUGAAGCUACAAUUCCAAGCCAGCUCCUCGGCAGAAACCUCUAGCCAAAACAGAAUUUUUGUCUGCUUUAUCAACAUCAUCCGAAUGCACAAAUCAACAUGCAUGGUCUUAAUCUUCAAGUUUCCACUCAGCUAAUGACACUUAGGUGUUCAGAUUGCCAUGGAAAAACAAAAAUGGAGCUGCAUUAUCACUUCAGUUUCUCGGCAGCAACAUUUCAUCAAAACAGAAAUUUUUCUAAAGGCUCGAUUUCAACAACCGACUGAGCAAUCCAUACAUGCAAGCUCUGAUAUAGCUUCCUAUACUUUUAAUCAACCUAAUAAGUCCAGAAAUUACCUCAGAUAUAAGCUAGGCUCACACACGAAAAUUCCAGAAUUUUCUUUCCUUGCUCUCGGUUUCAAGUGCAGGUCGGUUGUCCUGGUUCCUGAUUUGCGGUUGAGAAUUGGUUGCAGCUGGUGGAUUUGAGUUCGGUUGGUUGGAGUUGGUGGAGAUGGAGGUUCAGAAUGGUGAAGCUUCACCGAAAAUUUCUCCCUGGUUUCACUCCAGCUUACGGCAGAACCAGAAAAUUUCUGCAGCUCACGUUCCCUCCUCACUUGCUCUCGGAUGCAGCUCACCAGGUAACUCUCUCUCUUGUAUACACUCGGUCUAAGGCAGUGGAAGAGAUGAGGUGAUGAUUGUGGAGAGGGAGUGUGAUGGCUGCGGUGAAAUUGUGCAGAGGAAAUGAGAUAGUGAAGAGGCGGUAUCUCGGUUUUAAGAAGGAAAGGAAAUGGUUUUCGGUGAGUUUGUGCAGAGGAAGUGAAUUUGUGGUUUGAGAUGUGAAAUAGAGCGAAUGGUAUAAGGUGCCGCGGUAUUAGGAGCAGAGGUUGCGUGUGUGCGAAUCGGUUGCGUAUCGAAUUGGAUAAAAUGUGAUUGGCCAAUAGUUGCGGUGAUUGAAAUUUGCGGUCAGAGGAUUUGUUUGGUUUGCAUGGAAAUGUAAGGGCAUUUUAGUCUUUUCACUUUGCUCCCUAACCUCAACUUAAUUUCUCAAUUCUAACUUAAUUCUAAAAAUUAUCCCCAAGUGUGAUUUGAACGCCUAAUUAUACCCUAAUAUACCUAAUAAUAUACUAAUCUCGCAAAGAUUCGAUUAUCAAGAUUUUAACCUCCUAAGUGUACCCAAUGUACUUGUAACGGUUUAUCAAAAAUAUAUCGAGUCAUCUUAAUUCUAAGGUUCCUAUUAACACUUAACAUUCUUAUUUUAUUAUUAAAAUUAUUAAAAUUAUUAAAAUUAUUAAAAUCAAGUUUGACCUUAAUAUAUAAAUUUAACAUUCUUAAUAUUCGUUUAUCCUUUUAUAUCAAAACUUAUUAACUUAAUCAUUAUUAACGCUUAAGAUUAGCUAUCGGAAUUCAAAGAAAUUUAAUUGUUAAAUCAAUGAAAUAAUUUACCUUCGAAAUAUGAAUUUAAUGUAACAAAACUAGGAAAUUUAAUAGUUUAGCACAAUUCUUUUUAUUUUGCACAAAAAUUUAUUUCUACGCACUUAUUUAAAAACAAUUAGAUUUAAUGCUAAAAUUUAUUUAAGCAUUAAGAAUGCAAAUGAAAUAUGCACUGAUAUCUAUAUAUGUAUAUUUUCAGGGUUCUCACAUCCUCCCCUCCUUAAAAUGAAUUUUGUCCUCAAAAUUCUCACCUUCUUGCAUUUUCGGGCAACCGGCAAUUUGGUGCUCGCUACUUCCACACCUCAAGCACUUUCCUCCCUUUUUCCAGCAUUCGUUCUCAAUAUGACCAGCCCUCCUGCAAUACCCACAAGUUACCUGAGAGGUGGUCACACGGCCUCCUUGUGGGGCGUUCCUAGGUUGGUUCCUUCCACUUGGUCCUCCGUUAGCUCCAUUAGCUCUUUCCCCGGUACCUCUGGUCCCAGCUCCUCUCGCUAGAGCGCCUCGUGGUGCUCCAUGAUUAUUUACUCCACCCGUUCCUCGACCCACUUUGGCCGGUGGAGCAUUUGCAUAAGUCGGCUCCCGACUGCUGCUAGGUGCAAAUCUUUUCUUGGCCUGGAAAGUUUUUACUUGAGCUCUGGCAACUUCAACCCUUUGAGCUCUCUCUACAGCAUCAGCAAAUGUGUCUAUUCGAACAGCAGCUAAUCCCUCCUGAAUUUCCACGUUCAGUCCCUGCACAAACCUCCUUACACGCCUUUGCUCCGUAGCUACCAAUUCCGGAGCAUAACGGGAUAAUUUCGUGAAUUGAAUCUCAUAUUCUGCGACACUCAUCGCCUCCUGCCUACACUUAAUGAAAUCAUCCUCUCUUUUCUCUUGGAUGAGAGGAGGAAGAAAUUUGGUGUUGAAUUCCCUUGUGAAGUUCGCCCAGGUCCUAGGAAUAUGAUUCUUGUCCCAAUUGACCCUAAUUAGGUUCCACCAGGAACGAGCAGCUCCCUCAAACUGGAAUGCUGCGAAAGUCACUUGCCUCUCUUCUGGAUAAUUUAGGGCGGCAAAAAUAUCAGAGAUCCUCUCCCACCAACCUUCGACUACCUCAGGUUCUGGCCCUCCGUAGAACUUAGGAGGUCCAAACUUCAGGAAUCUCUCUAAUGCCCGAUCCUCAGAAUCGAUUGGGCCUCCUUGCUGAUGCACCGCUCCAUGAGCUUAGUGCUCAGUCAUGCGCUCUAACACAUCAGUUAUUCUAUUGAUUGCGGUGGCCACGGAAUCUCCGGCCACGUUUCCCUGACCAUGGUCUGGGUUGACCUCAGGUUCCCUAUCACCACUACCCUCGGGGUGUUGCCUAGUUGGUCUCCCACGUCCUCUACCUCUAACUUGGAGAUCCAUAGCCUAGUUAUGCCUAUUAUUGGAAAAUAAGGCAUUUAGGCGAGAAUAGAAACAUUUAUUAUAUUAUUAUUCUUUUUGUAAGUAAAAUCAAUAUGAGAAUUGAGAAAAAGGAGAGUUAAUUAGUCAUGUAACUUAUUCAACUAUAUCAUGUAUUCAAAUUGCUCAAAUCACAAUAUUCCUAUCUUAUUUUUAUUCGAUUCAUAUAUAUAUAUUACACUAUUCUAGGAUAUUUCUAAAUUCUCAAGAAUUUUUUUUUUCAACAUUAUAACAAAGUAGACGUGUAAUCAUCAAAUUUCAUACACACAAUAUGAGUCACAUUGCAUACCAAUUUCAUACAACUUCAAGAGCCAAACAAUUCACGAAUACAUUCAAUAUUUUCAUACGUAACUCAAACUUCAAUCUUUAUAAGCAUGAAAGAAAACAACACAAUAUUACACAAAUUAUUGUAACCACAUAGCUAAUAGCUCAACCCUUAGUUUAGAUUCAACUUAACCUUAGUGGAUUGUAGACCUACCACGUCUAAUAUUAAAUUUAAUAACAUGAUCAUUACUUAAGUACAUCAAUAGCUCUUAAGUAUUCUAAAUGAUCUCAAACAUUUCAUACAUUGGCUUUUCUAAUAACCUAACAACUAGUUAUCUUUAUCCUGUUGGACAUU